rnacentral:lncRNA from 1 species
AGUCCCCGCGCGACUCCCUCACAGCUACAAGCCAGCCUCAUCAUAAAGGGACUUGAGAGUAGCCAAGGGGAGGAGUAUUUGCAGGUCCUGCAUUGGUCGAGAGGCGAGGCGAGCAGGAUGCGGCUUGCUUUCUGGGCCUUGCAUUUCACAGUGAGGAUUUUAACACUAAUCCUGGUAAAGCCUGCAUAUCAGCGGGGAGUCAGGGUAAAACAAUCUAAAAUGUGGCCCUUCCCAUUGAAUACCCUGUGACCUUAUAGCAAUUGAACUAUUGGCUGCCAUCACUGUAAGUUAAUAACCUAUUUUAUAGAAUGGAGCCUACAGACUGUGUUUUAAAUAGCUUUGCUUUUUUUUUUUUUUUCUUUUUUUUUUUGAACAACAUUCCUGCAGAAUUCCCUGGAGUGAGACUCAGGACAAUAUUAAAUCCAAUGAAUCACGCAGCUUUCAGGAGGGCAGGGCAGCGCGCUGCAGAGGAGCACUGAAUGAUGGCUCGGCCUGGCGUCCCUGGCGGCAGCAGUGGCCGCACCAGGCACCGUGUUCUCAUUCAGCAAAGACUCAGUUUUUAUUUGAAGACUGCGAACAUCUCCAGAACAGGAGACAUUUGGAAGAGCCCGUGCCUACUGGUAUCUGAAACUUGGCUGCUCAUUCUUCAGAAACCCCUUGUAUCCUGCGGAUUCCUCAGCAACACUGUCACACAGAAGAGAACCAGCAAAAUGUGAACAAACAUGAAUAUGAUGUUCAUUUUCAGACUGAAAAAGGAAAUAAUUACAGCUACUAUUUACAGUGUCUGGCUUUUCAGGCUUCAUGCUACAAGCAGCUAACUCUUUGUCAAGCAAUUAAUUUUGUUUAAGAUAAAUAAGUUUAUGUAUUUAAGGUCAUGUUUCAGAAGUAAAACCAGAACUAUGGUUUUUAUCGAGUUAUAAAAUUAGUUGGGGAAAAGGUAAUGAAUCUAAAACAACUCUUGAGAUCUGCCAU